UUCCCGGAGCCGGAGCGCAGCGCCUGCGGCCGCCCGUGCCCCGCCGUCCUCCUUCCCGCGGCCGUGAGGGAGACCGCGGCUCGGCCGUAGCGGAGCUGCGAGUUACAGAAUGUCUGAAGGGGACAGUGUGGGAGAAUCCGUCCAUGGGAAACCUUCGGUGGUGUACAGAUUUUUCACAAGACUUGGACAGGUUGGUGGGUUUUUUAGUAGAUGAGUAUAAAUAUUUGAAAAAGAAACGGGACUCCCAGCAUUUUCGGGAAGGAUCUGUUUGCUGGUGUUCCUGAUGGAGAAGUUACUUCGCCUCAGGCUCAAACUUCCUGAAGACAGCGUUCUCUUCACUGUGAAGGGCCAGCUGUGGAGAGAUCGGGCUCUGGGGCCACACGUGGUCUAUCAAACAUAUGCGUUUUCUGUUUCUGUUUUCCUUUUACCAAGCUUUAAAAAUAUAAAACCCAGUCUCAGCUCCCAGGCAGGACAGAUGCGGCCGUGGCUGCCGUUCUGCUCUUGCUGUCCCUCUCCCAGCCACCCACGUCCCCGGUGCUGGUAGCCCCACCUGCCCCGUGUCAGCUCGGCGGUUCUGUCCUUGAGGGUGAGAGGCUCUUGUGUGGGCUGCGUGUGCAUUGCUUGGUGAGUGAGGGACCUAGAGCUGCCUUUGAACGCUGGAGUCCGAACCUCUGUCAGGAAAAGCU
rnacentral:lncRNA from 1 species